CAUAACGUACAUCGUGCAACAUAAAUUCUGCCGCUGACACUGGACAUGGGCACGCUUCCUUUGAACGGGAUGUACUUAAGAGCAUUGGUGCCCUCCCUGCCUAGAGAAUGGCUUUCGGCUUGCAGGCAUGCACUAUGCAAAACGACUCAGAUCAACGCCUGCGUCGAGAGUAGAAAAAACGACACGAACGCCGCCUGGUUGUCUCGCCUUGGUCGUCAUGACGACGGCGUUGCUUGGCUCUGCGGCAAAGCCGAACCGCGCAGACUACGCAUAGAAAUGAAGAGGACGCGUGUGGAAACAGCGAUUUCGCGAGCCAGGCCGAUCAAAACUAAAAGCAGUGACGGUGUAAAAAAAAAGAAACAAGAGACCUUUUAAGCAGCCGUCACAGGUAUAUUCCGGGUUUCUUUCUUUUUGUUUGCCCUUACGAAUGCGUUAUGGCUUGUCGCUAUACUAAAAAUGGUGUAAAAUGUUGAUAAGCUCUAACUAAAAUUCUGUUUUCGCAUA